rnacentral:rRNA from 1 species
GACGAACGCUGGCGGCGUGCUUAACACAUGCAAGUCGAACGGAAAGGCCCUGCUUGCCGGGUACUCGAGUGGCGAACGGGUGAGUAACACGUGGGUGAUCUGCACUGCACUUCGGGAUAAGCCUGGGAGACUGAGUCUAAUACCGGAGAGGAGCCAUUUUUAGUGUGAUGGUUGGAGAGUUUUUUCGGUGUGGGAUGAGCUCGCGGCCUAUCAGCGUGUUGGUGGGGUAAUGGCCUACCAAGGCGGCGACGGGUAGCCGGCCUGGGAGGGUGGGCGGGCACAUUGGGACUGGGAUACAGACCAGACUCCGACGGGAGGCAGCAGUGGGGAAUAUUGCACAAUGGGCGCGAGCCUGAUGCAGAGCCGCCGCGUGGGGGAUGACGGCCUUCGGGUUGUAAUCUCCUUUCGCUAGGGACGAAGCUUUUUGUGACGGUACCUAGAUAAGAAGCACCGGCUAACUACGUG